GAGUUUGAUCAUGGCUCAGAUUGAACGCUGGCGGCAUGCCUUACACAUGCAAGUCGAACGGCAGCACGGGAGCUUGCUCCUGGUGGCGAGUGGCGAACGGGUGAGUAAUGCAUCGGAACGUAUCCUGGAGUGGGGGAUAACGUAGCGAAAGUUACGCUAAUACCGCACAUUCUGUGAGCAGGAAAGCGGGGGACCUUCGGGCCUCGCGCUCUUGGAGCGGCCGAUGUCGGAUUAGCUAGUUGGUGAGGUAAAGGCUCACCAAGGCGACGAUCCGUAGCAGGUCUGAGAGGAUGAUCUGCCACACUGGAACUGAGACACGGUCCAGACUCCUACGGGAGGCAGCAGUGGGGAAUUUUGGACAAUGGGGGCAACCCUGAUCCAGCCAUGCCGCGUGAGUGAAGAAGGCCUCGGUUGUAAG
rnacentral:rRNA from 1 species